rnacentral:rRNA from 1 species
UUUAUGGAGAGUUUGAUCCUGGCUCAGAGUGAACGCUGGCGGCGUGCCUAAUACAUGCAAGUCGAACGAUGAAGCUUCUAGCUUGCUAGAAUGCUGAUUAGUGGCGCACGGGUGAGUAACGCAUAGGUCAUGUGCCUCUUAGUUUGGGAUAGCCAUUGGAAACGAUGAUUAAUACCAGAUACUCCCUACGGGGGAAAGAUUUAUCGCUAAGAGAUCAGCCUAUGUCCUAUCAGCUUGUUGGUAAGGUAAUGGCUUACCAAGGCUAUGACGGGUAUCCGGCCUGAGAGGGUGAACGGACACACUGGAACUGAGACACGGUCCAGACUCCUACGGGAGGCAGCAGUAGGGAAUAUUGCUCAAUGGGGGAAACCCUGAAGCAGCAACGCCGCGUGGAGGAUGAAGGUUCUAGGAUUGUAAACUCCUUUUGUUAGAGAAGAUAAUGACGGUAUCUAACGAAUAAGCACCGGCUAACUCCGUGCCAGCAGCCGCGGUAAUACGGAGGGUGCAAGCGUUACUCGGAAUCACUGGGCGUAAAGAGCGCGUAGGCGGGAUAGUCAGUCAGGUGUGAAAUCCUAUGGCUUAACCAUAGAACUGCAUUUGAAACUACUAUUCUAGAGUGUGGGAGAGGUAGGUGGAAUUCUUGGUGUAGGGGUAAAAUCCGUAGAGAUCAAGAGGAAUACUCAUUGCGAAGGCGACCUGCUGGAACAUUACUGACGCUGAUUGCGCGAAAGCGUGGGGAGCAAACAGGAUUAGAUACCCUGGUAGUCCACGCCCUAAACGAUGGAUGCUAGUUGUUGGAGGGCUUAGUCUCUCCAGUAAUGCAGCUAACGCAUUAAGCAUCCCGCCUGGGGAGUACGGUCGCAAGAUUAAAACUCAAAGGAAUAGACGGGGACCCGCACAAGCGGUGGAGCAUGUGGUUUAAUUCGAAGAUACACGAAGAACCUUACCUAGGCUUGACAUUGAGAGAAUCCGCUAGAAAUAGUGGAGUGUCUGGCUUGCCAGACCUUGAAAACAGGUGCUGCACGGCUGUCGUCAGCUCGUGUCGUGAGAUGUUGGGUUAAGUCCCGCAACGAGCGCAACCCCCUUUCUUAGUUGCUAACAGGUCAUGCUGAGAACUCUAAGGAUACUGCCUCCGUAAGGAGGAGGAAGGUGGGGACGACGUCAAGUCAUCAUGGCCCUUACGCCUAGGGCUACACACGUGCUACAAUGGGGUGCACAAAGAGAAGCAAUACUGCGAAGUGGAGCCAAUCUUCAAAACACCUCUCAGUUCGGAUUGUAGGCUGCAACUCGCCUGCAUGAAGCUGGAAUCGCUAGUAAUCGCAAAUCAGCCAUGUUGCGGUGAAUACGUUCCCGGGUCUUGUACUCACCGCCCGUCACACCAUGGGAGUUGUGUUUGCCUUAAGUCAGGAUGCUAAAUUGGCUACUGCCCACGGCACACACAGCGACUGGGGUGAAGUCGUAACAAGGUAACCGUAGGUGAACCUGCGGUUGGAUCACCUCCUUU